rnacentral:rRNA from 1 species
GACGAACGCUGGCGGCGUGCCUAAUACAUGCAAGUAGAACGCUGAAGAGAGGAGCUUGCUCUUCUUGGAUGAGUUGCGAACGGGUGAGUAACGCGUAGGUAACCUGCCUUGUAGCGGGGGAUAACUAUUGGAAACGAUAGCUAAUACCGCAUAACAAUGGAUGACUCAUGUCAUUUAUUUGAAAGGGGCAAAUGCUCCACUACAAGAUGGACCUGCGUUGUAUUAGCUAGUAGGUGAGGUAACGGCUCACCUAGGCGACGAUACAUAGCCGACCUGAGAGGGUGAUCGGCCACACUGGGACUGAGACACGGCCCAGACUCCUACGGGAGGCAGCAGUAGGGAAUCUUCGGCAAUGGGGGCAACCCUGACCGAGCAACGCCGCGUGAGUGAAGAAGGUUUUCGGAUCGUAAAGCUCUGUUGUAAGUCAAGAACGAGUGUGAGAGUGGAAAGUUCACACUGUGACGGUAGCUUACCAGAAAGGGACGGCUAACUACGUGCCAGCAGCCGCGGUAAUACGUAGGUCCCGAGCGUUGUCCGGAUUUAUUGGACGUAAAGCGAGCGCAGGCGGUUUGAUAAGUCUGAAGUUAAAGGCUGUGGCUCAACCAUAGUUCGCUUUGGAAACUGUCAAACUUGAGUGCAGAAGGGGAGAGUGGAAUUCCAUGUGUAGCGGUGAAAUGCGUAGAUAUAUGGAGGAACACCGGUGGCGAAAGCGGCUCUCUGGUCUGUAACUGACGCUGAGGCUCGAAAGCGUGGGGAGCGAACAGG